GAUGAACGCUGGCGGCGUGCCUAAUACAUGCAAGUCGAGCGAACGGGCGAGAAGCUUGCUUCUCUGAUGUUAGCGGCGGACGGGUGAGUAACACGUGGAUAACCUACCUAUAAGACUGGGAUAACUUCGGGAAACCGGAGCUAAUACCGGAUGAUAUUUUGAACCGCAUGGUUCAAAAGUGAAAGACGGUCUUGCUGUCACUUAUAGAUGGAUCCGCGCUGCAUUAGCUAGUUGGUAAGGUAACGGCUUACCAAGGCAACGAUGCAUAGCCGACCUGAGAGGGUGAUCGGCCACACUGGAACUGAGACACUGUCCAGACUCCUACGGGAGGCAGCAGUAGGGAAUCUUCCGCAAUGGGCGAAAGCCUGACGGAGCAACGCCGCGUGAGUGAUGAAGGUCUUCGGAUCGUAAAACUCUGUUAUUAGGGAAGAACAUAUGUGUAAGUAACUGUGCACAUCUUGACGGUACCUAAUCAGAAAGCCACGGCUAACUACGUG
rnacentral:rRNA from 1 species